rnacentral:rRNA from 1 species
UUGAAGUUAAAAUUUGUGUACCAGGUUCCGUAGGUGAACCUGCGGAAGGAUCAUUG